rnacentral:rRNA from 3 species
CCUGGCGGCACUAGCGCGGUGGUCCCACCUGACCCCAUGCCGAACUCAGAAGUGAAACGCCGUAGCGCCGAUGGUAGUGUGGGGUCUCCCCAUGUGAGAGUAGGGA